GUCUUCUAAUGUCCCAUGGACUCUUCUCAUUUCCAGAUGUUCAUUAUCAACAAAGCUGAAGGGGACAGCUGCUCUCUGUCAGAGUUCACCAUCACAGGUUCUACCUACGCCCCCGAGGGUGAAGUGUACCAGGAUGGUAAACCAGUGAAAUCCUCCCAGUAUGAUGCUUUGGUUGAAUUGGCCACAAUCUGUGCCCUGUGCAAUGAUUCCUCGCUGGACUUCAACGAGGUGAAGGGGGUGUACGAGAAGGUCGGCGAGGCCACGGAGACCGCGCUGACCUGUCUGGUGGAGAAGAUGAAUGUCUUCGACACUGAAGUUCACAACCUGUCAAAGAUUGACAGAGCCAAUGCUUGCAACUCAGUGAUCAAACAGCUGAUGAAGAAGGAGUUCACCCUGGAGUUCUCAAGAGACCGGAAGUCCAUGUCUGUCUACUGCAGCCCAAACAAGUCCCGCUCUACCAUGGGCAAAAUGUUUGUGAAGGGAGCCCCAGAGGGAGUCAUCGAGAGAUGCACUCAUGUCAGAGUUGGCAACAGCAAAGUUCCCCUCAGCCAAGGCAUCAAGGAAAAGAUCAUGUCUGUUAUCCGUGAGUACGGGACAGGUCGCGACACCCUGAGGUGCUUGGCUCUGGCCACACGAGACAGCCCACCAAAAAUGGAGGACAUGAUAUUGUCUGACACUGCCAAAUUCAUCGAGUAUGAGUCUGACCUGACGUUUGUCGGCUGUGUCGGCAUGCUGGACCCUCCCAGACAGGAGGUAGCUGCUUCUAUCAAACUGUGCCGGCAGGCUGGCAUCCGCGUCAUCAUGAUCACCGGGGACAACAAGGGCACAGCUGUGGCUAUCUGCCGCCGCAUCGGCAUCCUGACCGAGGAGGACAAUACUGAGCACAUGGCUUUCACUGGACGGGAGUUUGAUGAGCUCACACUCGAUGCCCAGAGGGAGGCUGUGACCCGUGCGCGCUGCUUUGCGCGCGUGGAGCCUUCACAUAAAUCCAAGAUCGUUGAGUUCCUGCAAGGAUUCGAUGAAAUCACUGCUAUGACCGGUGACGGGGUGAACGAUGCCCCUGCGCUGAAGAAGGCAGAGAUCGGCAUCGCUAUGGGCUCUGGCACUGCCGUGGCCAAGUCAGCCUCUGAGAUGGUCCUCGCUGAUGACAACUUCUCUUCCAUAGUGGCCGCCGUUGAAGAAGGCAGAGCUAUUUACAAUAACAUGAAGCAGUUCAUCAGAUACCUUAUCUCUUCCAACGUGGGUGAGGUCGUCUGCAUCUUUCUCACUGCGGCUCUGGGGUUCCCUGAGGCCCUGAUUCCUGUCCAGCUGCUCUGGGUCAACCUGGUGACAGACGGCCUCCCUGCCACCGCCCUUGGCUUCAACCCCCCAGAUCUGGACAUUAUGGAGAAGCCUCCUCGCAAUGCUAAGGAGCCCCUGAUUUCUGGCUGGCUAUUCUUCAGAUAUCUGGCUAUUGGAGGCUACGUAGGUGCUGCCACUGUGGGAGCUGCUGCGUGGUGGUUUACAAUCUCUGAUGAUGGACCGCAGGUCACUCUGUACCAGCUGAGCCACUUCCUCCAGUGUGCCCCAGACAACCCAGAGUUUGAUGGCUUGGACUGCCACGUGUUUGAGUCACCCUACCCGAUGACCAUGGCCCUCUCUGUGCUUGUCACCAUUGAGAUGUGCAAUGCUCUGAACAGCCUGUCAGAGAACCAGUCCCUGCUGCGGAUGCCUCCCUGGGAGAACAUUUGGCUGCUAGGGGCCAUCUGUCUCUCCAUGUCUCUCCACUUCCUCAUCCUCUAUGUGGAACCUCUGCCUGUCAUCUUCCAGAUCACCCCUCUGGAUAUGACCCAGUGGUUGAUGGUGCUGAAGAUCUCGAUGCCCGUCAUUCUCCUGGACGAGCUGCUUAAGUUUAUGGCCAGGAACUACUUGGAAUUCGGUAAACAACUGGAGAAGCCGACAAGCAAAGGCUGCUCUCUGUCUGCAUGCGCCGAGGGAAUCUCCUGGCCCUUUGUGGCCAUCUCCCUGCCCCUGGUGCUGUGGAUCUACAGCACCGACACUAACGUGUCUGCCAUCUUGUGGCCCUGACUGACUCCAGUACACUACCCUCCUUGUGCACCAGUGUGAAGUGGACAUUAACGCACACAUCUAACACAGUUACAUUAACUCAGAACAAAUUACAGCAACAGCAUUUACACCUUCUCCAACCGCUGUCAGAACGCCUCUGUUAAGUACAUUUAGACUUGCACAUAUUUUUGGGUGGCCGGUGCUCGAGUAAUAUUUUACCGACAUGAUUUAUGUUCCAUGUUACCGUUGUGCUUUUCUCUGUUUUGACCCCCUUUGAGAAUAGCUAGAGAAGCCCACUGCGUUGGAGCGACAUGUUGAGCUGUACAGAGAGAAUUUAUUUACUAUUCUGUAAUAAUUAAUAUUUUAUAAUUUGGGGAAUGGAGAUUUCUGAGGACUGCGUAGUUUAGUUCAAUACUAAUUUAGGGGCAAAGACUUUCAGCGGAAUACAUUUGCCCAAGCAUGAAUCACAGUUGAAGUCCGUGCAUCGUACUCAUUCAUUAUUUUCUGCAUUAGGCAGAGCACAGCUACCUCAGUGCUGCUGAUUUGACCAUAAUGACCCAUUUGUCCAAGCUGUCAUUUCAUAUGUGAUCAUUUGAAGUGUUGAGGUAAGCACCAGUAGAGUCAAAAUCUUCACAUGUAUUUUAAUGUGCAUAUAUAUAUAGAGAGCGAGAUAUAUCGAUAUAUCUAUCUAUAUAUAGAUAUAUCUAUCUAUAUCUAGAUAUAGAUCUAGAUAUUGAUCUAUAUCUAGAUAUAGAUAGAUAGAUAUUUUUUUGUGUUCCUCUGUUAUUUGAGGGAAGAGGGGACAAAGACAUGUUACCAGCUUGAUUUUGAGUAAAUUCUUGGUACAGCCUGUUGUUAAAUUUAUUUACUUGAAGAAAACACAUUUGUCUGUGUUGUGUGUGGGGGGGGAUGUUUUUGGGUUGUUGUUGUUUUUUUUUUUGUUUGUUUGUUUUUUUAAAGUUAAAUCGUUGAGAUUCAUUCUAAGUUUUCAGUCCUAAUUUUGUGUGUUAACGACAGUAAUCUUUAUGUAUGUAAAAUGUGCACAUACUGUACUUGAAUAUGUAAAAAGGCACCAAGAAGCUGUUAGUCUUGCAAACUGAGCACAACGUGGACGGUUUGAUAGGCGCUCAGACCUCUGAUUGGCUGCUGUCGGAGGCGUUUGUAUAUCUGUACAUAGAACACGACAUAGACUCUAUACAUUUCAUUUCUUCCUGCAUACAUUCACACCCGUUUACUCAAGCGUAGCCUUUCUGCAUGCGCGCUCCGAUAGACCAGAGAGUGUUUUUUUGUUUUUUAAUUUGAAAAGCUAACUGUUGUUUCUUCCCACGCCUUCCCCCUAUUUACCUGCAGACAAAUCCCAAGUAAGCCCAUCUCUCCUGUAAAUUCCUAGCAGAAACUUUGGUUUGGUUUUGUGUUGUGCAUGUGUGUUUUUCAGCACAUCUUACAAGAGCUGAAUGCCAGUGAAGUGAUGACAGGGGCUCAGAAAGUUCACGCAUCAUUUUUACAGAAUGCCCAUAAAUGAAUGUCUGAUGGAAACUAGCCAGUUCCGCCUCAUCGGUCCUUCCAUCCUCCUGCAUGAAGAGCCUUAGAUUGCCAUACAAUCCUCAUGCCUUCAUUUUAGACUAAGAGCUUAGUACCUUGUACAGUCAGUUGUACAUUAUUCUAUGGUGCAUGUCUGCUCAGUCAGCCAUCUGUUUUACCAGACAAAUGUAAUAGAUUAUGUAUAAGUUCAAAAACACAGUUCAUCUUUCCUAAGGAAAUACUUUUAUGAGAUAAUAGAUUUUUCUUUUUGCUUUACACUGAGAUGAGCAGAUUUUUUGCCAAAUCUGGGAAGGCAGGUGUGCAGCGAUGCUGAUGUUUUACCCUUUUAACGGCAGGCGGUCCCUCCACUGGCAUUUUUUGCCAAACUGCUGUACUGUAUUUUCAGAAAUGAUUGUACAACGUAUCACAUGGACUUUGGUUUCAGGUAAAUAAAAUUAAAACUGUCAUACACUAA